UAUAGUUUAAAAAUAGACAUUUGUGACAUUUAUGUAUAGCUGAUUCUUGAAAGAAAAAUGCAUGGAAUAGUAAUUAAUCUCUAUGCUAUUUAUAGGCCCAGGAAUGCUCUGUGCCUUGCACCCUAGUUGCUAGGAUGUGUCCUGGAUAUUCCUUUAGCUUAGAGUCUGCUCUUGUUCAAAGUCUCAAGGGAUAGCUAUGUCACAUUAGGAAGUGGCCCAUAGUACUAGACCUCCCACACACUUAUUAUUUAGGUCAUUUGUCUGAAUUUUUAAAAAAUUACCAGGCUAACCACUUAAUACAAUGUGUGUAUUUUCAUCCAAACGGUAUUUUUAUGAAUAAGGGCCUUGAAAUAAGCCUAAAUUGUACAUUAUUGUCUAUAUUUUUAAAUAUGUUGCUACUGUUAGUAAUUACUAUGAGUGCAUAUUUAAUGCACUGGGGAAAUUUGAUGCAAUUAUUCCAUUUACUUGUGAUUUCCUUUCAAUCCAAAUGUCUGUAUUAAAAUACUGAAAAAGAAAACUACAGAGAAUUUAGGUCAUUUAAAAAGUGCGUUCAUUUGUGUACCCUGCUAGUAAACUUCUAUUGCACUAACCAAGAUAAAAUUAGAAUGGGCCUGACACAUUAAAGGAUAGGGUUCUAAAAUUUAGGUGAUUUAAUAUAAAGUUACCUUUUAAAUAUAACCUUAAAAAGGCUGAGCCAAUUGCAAGGCAACUUCCUUAUAGAAGUCAAUGAGAGAUGAAUAUAACUGAGCUCAAAAUGUAGCUAGUUUAACUUCAGACAAAUUAUUUUUCCCCAAGCUCUUUUCAACACUUAGGAUUUGAUUAUACCUGGAAAUGGAUUGAAGAGACAGAAGUUGGUAGCUCUUAGAAAGUCUGUACAAAAUGACAGAAAUAACAGAGAAAAGGUCUAAGACUCUCUCUUCCAUGAGUGCCUAGCGUUUUUUUAAAGCUCAGACAAUUUGGGUACUGAAAAAGAUCUCUAAUGCUGAAAGGGUCUGAAAAUAAGAAGAGUGCAAGAGGGGUACAGCUUUUGUAGACCCACUUUUUAUUUUAUCCUUUGAUCAUAAACGAGUAAGAAAAGUACGUGUUUCACGGAAAUGAUUCAAUAUCAUUAAAAUGGUUUGGUCAGGGAAUAGAGUAAGGUAGAAAAGUACAAGUGUUAAAUGAAGGAAGGAACUCCACGUCCAUUUGUUUGGUAGACAUCACCAGUGUUAGUUUCCUUUCAAGUUAAUGUGCGAUUAUUUUUAUACAUGUUUUAAUAAUAUUUUUAAAUAUCUCUCCAUGAAAGAGGUGAGAUUUGAAAUGAGAUCUUUUUCAUAGCUCUAAAAUGUUUUUUUUUCAUAUAAUAAUAAUGAGAUACUUGUGUUCUUAUGCUUAAAGCAAAGAGUUACAUUCCUAUUAACAUUUGUUUAACUAGGCUUCCAUCACAACAGGUGCACAAUUAUUUUUAUGAGUAAAAUAUUAUCAACCUUCAAAAUUAGCCAGGGCAAAAUGCAAGUUGUCUGAUUAAAUAAUCAGAGCUGAUACUUAAAAUACAUUUGAUUUCCACAGGAAUUUUAAAAUGUUAAGUCCUAAUCUCUUAUUCUGAUGUGCAGAGAGAGUUGCAAUUGUUUGUAGUAUGUAAGUAGUAGCUUGUAUUGUAACUAGUUUGCUAUAUUUCAUAUAAUUCAAUUGAUUAUGAAACAGAUUACUAGGUUAUUACUUCUAGUCUAACAUUUUAAUCUGGAAAUGAAGUGGUGGUAUGCUCCACAUUAAAUCAGUAAAAAAAAAAAGUGGCUCUUUCCGUUUGAAUACUAUUCUGCAUUCAACUUAAAAGGGUACAUCAGUUUAGAAAAUUAAAAUUCAGUCGUGUUUAUUUAAUUUGUGGGGGUUAAAAAUAAUAAGAAUAUGUAUAUUGGCCCAUAAAAUGUAUAUGGAUAUGUACACCAAAGUUACUGUAUAUAUUGAUGAACAAUAAGAAAUCCUAAAUGGUAGGAAGCAAACAUAAAAUCAACAUCCCCUUACCCCCAACUGAACUGAACAGAAAGCUUAUCUAGGAGGCGACUUCACCAUGUUUUAGAAGUGCUGCAGCAGUGUAGUUGUUAUAAACCAAUUACAGGCAGGUAACUGUUUUUAUAGCCGAAUCUGUUUGUCAAUCAUGGGAAUGCAAUGAAUCAGGAGAGGGGAUCUGAAAUACAAACCACAGAGUAAGGCAGAGAAUCUGGAAUGGGUCCAAGCCACAAAAAUUAGGGCAGGAGUAUAGAUGGGAUUGAAACUAUACAUGUGCACAUGGCUCCUGUCUUUGACUAUAUUCUUCAAAUAGACUCAGAAGUAGAAAUUAUUAGAAAUAAAAUGUUAGCUUUGUAUUGGAAACAGUCUGAUUUUAAAGUUUGUUAGAAACUAUUUGGUCACUUAUAGGAGUGCGAUUGUAAAAGAAAUUUUCUGUACAUCUUUACAACUGUAAGGCAUUUUUAAUAUUGGCUCAUAAUCCUUCUUAAAUUAAUAUUUUAAUUUAAUUUUUGGUUUGGAAGUAUACUGAGAUAUACCUCUGACCAUAUUAUAAAUAGAUAGGGUUUUACUACUUUGAUAUUCAUCUACAGCAAUUUCUAACUUAUAUACCUCUUUAUGAAGAAACUUUGGUUUUUAUCUGGACCCAGGAACACAUUUUUACUCAAGGAAGUAAAAGCACCUCUACUGUUAAACAUGUAGCUCUUGUGCUCAGGUUGCAGGAUGUCAAGAGACAGCAAAGUAUGUAUACAAAGAGUGCUUUACGUAAGUCUAUAGGGCUACAAGUUUUUCUAGUCUAAAAUAUGGGAAAACCUACUGAGACCCUGAAGUUUACCUUGGUAACUUCAAGGGAGCAAAAAUAGAAUUUUAUUAAGAAAGCUAAAGAAAAUGAAAUGGGCACGACCAUGCUGUGGUUUUGCUUAAACACAGGCUUUCACAUCCAUUGAGCGUUCUGGAUUUCUUGUUAACUGGCUACUGAAAGGAGCUCUUUUAUUUUUCCAAUCAUAGUUCUUUGUGCCAGUAGGCAUUUGCCUCAAAGCAUGAUGGCUGUUCUCUAACCCUCACAGUUGACUGUUCAUUUCUCAGCAUGAUUAUCACGUUUUACUGUUGCCCUCCCAGAUGAAUGUUGAGAAGUGUUUUACAGGAAUACUUGUUACUUGUCUCAAGUCUGUUUCUGUGCACUAUUCAGUUUUGAUGUUAGGAAGAAGAAGAGGGGAAUCACCACUAUCCGAUAUGGCUUUCUGUACCUGGUCCAUUUUUCUUGAGUAUUUACAAAGGCUUAUUUAUAAUGGAAUUUGAAUUAAUGAUGAAGAAAAAAAGGAAUAAGAAGUGAUGAAUGAGGUGAAAUGAAAUACUAGAGAAAAGAGAUUUUUUUUUAAGUCUAAAAAGAAGAAUUUGCUUAAGAUUACAGGAAGGGCUCUGAGGGGAUUCUCUGUAUUAUAUUUCAUAAACAAAACUGGAAGUAGGACCACAAAAAUACCCUUUCCUGACGAACUGAUUCUUAUUGUGAUUGACACUAAGAAAAGCUUUCUUUUUGGAACAUUAAUCUCAGAACCAGGAAGGGAUCUUGAGAAUUUAUUUCAUCCAUCCCUCUGUUUUCCAGAAGGAAUGCAUUUGUAGAAUCUCAGUCACUCCACAAAUCUUUUUAACGUGCUGAUUUAUUUGCCCAUCAUUGUGUUAGGUUUUGUGGGGUUUAUGUAAUUUCAUAUUUUCUACCAUUCAGACAUGAGAAAUUCCUAUUUGUAAAGCCCUACCAAGAAGUGAGAGAGAAGGUGCUGACAAAAACAAGGACUACCGUUUUUUUUGGGGGGCAAAUCCUUGAUAUCACAGUGACUUUGUGUAUUUUAUCUCACUUAAUCCUCAAACCAAUGCCAUGAGAUGGACAUUAUUUUCCUCCAUUUACAAAAGAGUUAACAGAGCCUCAGAAAAAUGAAAUCAUUUUGUUCAAGACAGCAAAAUAAUAGUGGCCAAACCAGGAUUUGAAUUGAGGACUGUAUGAUGCUAAAACUCAUGCCCUUGUCACCAAGGUAUACUAACAUAUCCUCCAGACAUUAUUGAAACACACUUCCUCAUGAACUUUUCAAAUGUAUCAUACUACUCUUUAACCUAAACAAACAGCAAAACAAAACCAAACAACA